rnacentral:rRNA from 1 species
CAACUUUUAACAACGGAUCUCUUGGCUCUCGCAUCGAUGAAGAACGCAGCGAAAUGCGAUAAGUAAUGUGAAUUGCAGAAUUCAGUGAAUCAUCGAAUCUUUGAACGCACCUUGCGCUCCUUGGUAUUCCGAGGAGCAUGCCUGUUUGAGUGUCAU